rnacentral:rRNA from 1 species
AGAGUUUGAUCCUGGCUCAGGAUGAACGCUAGCUACAGGCUUAACACAUGCAAGUCGAGGGGCAGCAUGGUCUUAGCUUGCUAAGGCCGAUGGCGACCAGCGCACGGGUGAGUAACACGUAUCCAACCUGCCGUCUACUCUUGGACAGCCUUCUGAAAGGAAGAUUAAUACAAGAUGGCAUCAUGAGUCCGCAUGUUCACAUGAUUAAAGGUAUUCCGGUAGACGAUGGGGAUGCGUUCCAUUAGAUAGUAGGCGGGGUAACGGCCCACCUAGUCUUCGAUGGAUAGGGGUUCUGAGAGGAAGGUCCCCCACAUUGGAACUGAGACACGGUCCAAACUCCUACGGGAGGCAGCAGUGAGGAAUAUUGGUCAAUGGGCGAGAGCCUGAACCAGCCAAGUAGCGUGAAGGAUGACUGCCCUAUGGGUUGUAAACUUCUUUUAUAAAGGAAUAAAGUCGGGUAUGGAUACCCGUUUGCAUGUACUUUAUGAAUAAGGAUCGGCUAACUCCGUGCCAGCAGCCGCGGUAAUACGGAGGAUCCGAGCGUUAUCCGGAUUUAUUGGGUUUAAAGGGAGCGUAGAUGGAUGUUUAAGUCAGUUGUGAAAGUUUGCGGCUCAACCGUAAAAUUGCAGUUGAUACUGGAUAUCUUGAGUGCAGUUGAGGCAGGCGGAAUUCGUGGUGUAGCGGUGAAAUGCUUAGAUAUCACGAAGAACUCCGAUUGCGAAGGCAGCCUGCUAAGCUGCAACUGACAUUGAGGCUCGAAAGUGUGGGUAUCAAACAGGAUUAGAUACCCUGGUAGUCCACACGGUAAACGAUGAAUACUCGCUGUUUGCGAUAUACUGCAAGCGGCCAAGCGAAAGCGUUAAGUAUUCCACCUGGGGAGUACGCCGGCAACGGUGAAACUCAAAGGAAUUGACGGGGGCCCGCACAAGCGGAGGAACAUGUGGUUUAAUUCGAUGAUACGCGAGGAACCUUACCCGGGCUUAAAUUGCAGAUGAAUUACGGUGAAAGCCGUAAGCCGCAAGGCAUCUGUGAAGGUGCUGCAUGGUUGUCGUCAGCUCGUGCCGUGAGGUGUCGGCUUAAGUGCCAUAACGAGCGCAACCCUUGUUGUCAGUUACUAACAGGUUCUGCUGAGGACUCUGACAAGACUGCCAUCGUAAGAUGUGAGGAAGGUGGGGAUGACGUCAAAUCAGCACGGCCCUUACGUCCGGGGCUACACACGUGUUACAAUGGGGGGUACAGAGGGCCGCUACCACGCGAGUGGAUGCCAAUCCCAAAAACCUCUCUCAGUUCGGACUGGAGUCUGCAACCCGACUCCACGAAGCUGGAUUCGCUAGUAAUCGCGCAUCAGCCACGGCGCGGUGAAUACGUUCCCGGGCCUUGUACACACCGCCCGUCAAGCCAUGGGAGCCGGGGGUACCUGAAGUGCGUAACCGCGAGGAGCGCCCUAGGGUAAAACUGGUGACUGGGGCUAAGUCGUAACAAGGUAGCCG